rnacentral:sRNA from 12 species
GAAGCCCUGUUGCUCACGAAGGCUUGAGUUCCACUCGAGUCACGCCAUUUGGCAUAGUGAGCACGGGGCUUU